rnacentral:rRNA from 1 species
UAUCUCUGUAGAGUCUGCAUAUCAAUAAGCGGAGGAAAAGAAACUAACAAGGAUUCCCUUAGUAACGGCGAGUGAAGCGGGAAGAGCUCAAGUUUGAAAUCUUCAAGGUUUUACCUUGACGAAUUGUAGUUUAAAGAAGUGUUUUCUGUUGAAGUUUCGGUAAAAGUUCUUUGGAAUAGGACAUCAUAGAGGGUGAGAAUCCCGUAUUUGACCGUUAUUUUCAGCUGUGUGAUACACUUUCAAAGAGUCGGAUUGUUUGGGAAUGCAGUCCAAAAUGGGUGGUAAAUUUCAUCUAAAGCUAAAUAUUGGCGAGAGACCGAUAGCGAACAAGUACCGUGAGGGAAAGAUGAAAAGAACUUUGAAAGGAGAGUUAAACAGUACGUGAAAUUGUCAAAAGGGAAGCGUUUGACACCAGUGUUGUUUUCUCGAAAAUCAAUUAAAAAUGGCGGGAUUUUGUGUUGUAUUGACUUUAUCAGCUUUCUGCACUUUUUUCCUGUCUUUUUUAAUGCACUUUUCGUUUAACAAGUCAACAUCAAUUUCUUUUGUUGUAAAAGGGUCAUUGGAAGGUGGCUUUCUUUUCGGAGAAAGUGUUUAUAGCCUUUGACUUCUGCAAUCGGAGAGAUUGAGGUCUGCAGCGUAGAUCCUUCGGGGUUAGAUGCAUUUGUGCUAAGUUAUAGCCUUUCAUAGACAACUUGUUGACUAUGAUCAGUCAUGUAGCUUACUCGCUUAUGUCAUUUUACCUACGCUUAGGAUGUUGAACGCGCACAGAGUCUC